GACGAACGCUGGCGGCGUGCCUAACACAUGCAAGUCGAGCGGAGAUAUAUAGAAGGUUUACCGGAAAUAUAUCUUAGCGGCGGACGGGUGAGUAACGCGUGGGCAACCUGCCUCAUACAGGGGGAUAACACAGGGAAACUUGCGCUAAUACCGCAUGAUAUCAUUGUAUGGCAUCAUACGAUGAUCAAAGGAGCAAUCCGGUAUGAGAUGGGCCCGCGUCCGAUUAGCUAGUUGGUGAGGUAACGGCUCACCAAGGCGACGAUCGGUAGCCGAACUGAGAGGUUGAUCGGCCACAUUGGGACUGAGACACGGCCCAGACUCCUACGGGAGGCAGCAGUGGGGAAUAUUGCGCAAUGGGGGAAACCCUGACGCAGCAACGCCGCGUGAAGGAAGAAGGCCUUCGGGUUGUAACUUCUUUGAUUGGGGACGAAGAAAGUGACUGUACCAAAAACAAGACCACGGCUAACUACGUGCCAGCCGCCGCGGUAAAACCCUCGUCUCUAC
rnacentral:rRNA from 1 species